AAACACUAACCUAUAAACUGAUCUGCUGAGCUGGACCAUCAACCUCUGUUUAUAUCCCCGCCACUCAUCUUUUGGCACUUAUCAAUAGCAAAAUCUAGAAUUGCAGAAACCCCAAUUUUAAUGAAUAUUAUUUUUAGUUGAUAAUUAAAAUUAAUUGAUGAUUAAUCUAUUCCGUUGUGCCUUAUUUUAUCGCCAAAUACUUUGAAUAUUCAAAUAUAUAGGGUUCACUAUUUAACGAAUACAAUUUUGAUGGUGGAUUGCAUUUCUUGAGUUAUAAAUGUGGUCAAUCCAUUAUUUACUAGCUGAAUAAUCAUAAUGUUUUGGCCACUUAUCUUGAAUUUUGUUCAAAUGGAAGAAGUCACAUGUUUCUUUCCGUUGUUGAGGAUGCUUGGCAAUCGCGAAAUGGGGGCCUACCUCUUUGGAAAGAGAAGUCUCGCUGUCCAACCUCUCACGAAUUACAAACAAGGUGCUUUCUUGCUGGAAAAACCACCGAACCAGUAGAACUUUCCUCGGUUCUUCAAUUCGAUUCGAAUAAAUUUUUUACCCAGAAAAGCCAGCGUUUCCUGAUUCUCUCACUCAUCUCUCAGCUCUCUCUCACUUUUGAGGUACAUGCGGUUGGAUUCCGUUUGCUGCUGCUGAUUUGCAGUCUGUGAGGGCUUCAAUCUGUUGGAAUUUUGAAUGGUUAUUGCUUCAUCGGAAUUUGGGUGGUCCAAAUUUUGACUUAGAAGAAACCCAUUUGAUUAAUAUUUUUGGUGGAUUGGUUCUCUGUGUUUUCUCUGUUAUUUCUCCCCCAGUUGGAAAGUGGAAGCCCCAACUUUGAGCUCAGAGCUUGAAUUUCUCAAUUGUUCGUUUCUCUGCACUCUCAUCAGUCACUCUUGAUUCUCUCUCUGAAGAACUGGAGUGAUGGAUUUUUGUAUGAAAUGCACUCAACCCUGAAUUCCAGUGGGGGUGGCUGAAGCAGCUGCCGGAUAUGACAAAUCGCAGCCAAGGUUCCCUAAAUUGUCCAUCCUUUUAGUUUUAUAAAGUAUGACAAUUUGAUAUACAUAUAUAUGUAUACGUAUAUAUAUAUAUAUAUGUAUGUAUGUAUGUAUAUAGAGAACUUACAUCUCUUGACAGAUUGUGUGGCUAGAUAGGUUUUCACGUACCUGACCAAAAUAAAGUUUAUCAUGUUAUUCUGUCCAACUAUUGAUUUGUAACAACGUUAUGUACAUACAUUUUACACACCAUUUUUAUAACACAAUUAUUCCUGUA